CCUACGGGAGGCAGCAGUAGGGAAUCUUUCACAAUGGGCGAAAGCCUGAUGGAGCAACGCCGCGUGCAGGAUGAAGGCCUUCGGGUUGUAAACUGCUUUUAUAAGCGAGAAAUAUGAUGGUAACUUAUGAAUAAGGAUCGGCUAACUACGUGCCAGCAGCCGCGGUCAUACGUAGGAUCCGAGCAUUAUCCGGAGUGACUGGGUGUAAAGAGUUGCGUAGGUGGCAUAAUAAGUAGCUAGUGAAAUCUGGUGGCUCAACCAUUCAGACUACUAGCUAAACUGUUAAGCUCGAGACCGUGAGAGGUAACUGGAAUUUCUAGUGUAGGGGUGAAAUCCGUAGAUAUUAGAAGGAACACCAAUAGCGUAGGCAGGUUGCUGGGACGGUUCUGACGCUAAGGCACGAAAGCGUAGGGAGCAAACGGGAUUAGAUACCCGGGUAGUC
rnacentral:rRNA from 1 species